rnacentral:rRNA from 1 species
UACGUAGGGUGCAAGCGUUGUCCGGAUUUAUUGGGCGUAAAGAGCUCGUAGGCGGUCUGUCGCGUCGGAUGUGAAAACCCAGGGCUCAACCCUGGGCCUGCAUUCGAUACGGGCAGACUAGAGUGUGGCAGGGGAGACUGGAAUUCCUGGUGUAGCGGUGAAAUGCGCAGAUAUCAGGAGGAACACCGGUGGCGAAGGCGGGUCUCUGGGCCAAAACUGACGCUGAGGAGCGAAAGCGUGGGGAGCGAACAGG